GGCUCAUUAAAUCAGUUAUGGUUCAUUUGAUCGUACAGUUUACUUGGAUAACUGUGGUAAUUCUAGAGCUAAUACAUGCGAGAAGCGCCGACCUCGCGGGAGGCGUGCAUUUAUCAGACCAAAAACCGGCCGCGUCUUCGGGCGCGUUCGCCUUGGUGACUCUGGAUAACUUUGCGGAUCGCACGGUCUAGCACCGGCGACGGAUCAUUCAAGUGUCUGCCCUAUCAACUUUCGUCGGUACGGUAUUUGCCUACCGAGGUUCUUACGGGUGACGGGGAAUCAGGGUUCGAUUCCGGAGAGGGAGCCUGAGAAACGGCUACCACAUCCAAGGAAGGCAGCAGGCGCGCAAAUUACCCAUUCCCGACGCGGGGAGGUAGUGACGAAAAAUAACAAUGCAGGACUCGUUCGAGGCCCUGUAAUUGGAAUGAGUACACUUUAAAAGCUUUAACGAGUAUCCAUUGGAGGGCAAGUCUGGUGCCACCAGCCGCGGUAAUUCCAGCUCCAAAAGUAUAUAUUUAAGUUGUUGCGGUUAAAAAGCUCGUAGUUGGAUUUUGGGCGCAGGCGGCCGGUCCGUCGCAAGGCGUGUACUGGACGUCCUGGCCUUCCCUCCGGUUCUCCGCCGGUGCUCUUGACUGAGUGUCGGCGGCGGCCGGAACGUUUACUUUGAAAAAAUUAGAGUGUUCAAAGCAGGCUCUCGAGCCUGGAUAAUGGUGCAUGGAAUAAUGGAAUAGGACCUCGGUUCUAUUUUGUUGGUUUUCGGAGCGCGAGGUAAUGAUUAAGAGGGACAGACGGGGGCAUUCGUACUGUGCCGUUAGAGGUGAAAUUCUUGGAUCGGCGCAAGACGAACGACUGCGAAAGCAUUUGCCAAGAAUGUUUUCUUUAAUCAAGAGCGAAAGUCAGAGGUUCGAAGACGAUCAGAUACCGUCCUAGUUCUGACUAUAAACGAUGCCAACUAGCGAUCGGGGGGCGUUACAUUGACGACCCCUCCGGCAGCUUACGGGAAACCAAAGUCUUUGGGUUCCGGGGGAAGUAUGGUUGCAAAGCUGAAACUUAAAGGAAUUGACGGAAGGGCACCACCAGGAGUGGAGCCUGCGGCUUAAUUUGACUCAACACGGGAAAUCUCACCCGGCCCGGACACAGUGAUGGAUUGACAGAUUGAGAGCUCUUUCUUGAUUCU
rfam:Ciona savignyi cont_23108, whole genome shotgun sequence.